UACGAAGGGAGCUAGCGUUGUUCGGAAUUACUGGGCGUAAAGCGUGCGCAGGCGGUUCGUUAUGUCCGAUGUGAAAGCCCCGAGCUUAACUUGGGAAUGGCAUUGGAAACUGGCGGGCUGGAGUGCGGCAGAGGGGGGUGGAAUUCCACGUGUAGCAGUGAAAUGCGUAGAGAUGUGGAGGAACACCGAUGGCGAAGGCAGCCCCCUGGGCCGACACUGACGCUCAGGCACGAAAGCGUGGGGAGCAAACAGG
rnacentral:rRNA from 1 species